UUUCCGUAGGUGAACCAGCGGAGGGAUCAUUACCGAGUUUACAACUCCCAAACCCCAAUGUGAACGUUACCAAACUGUUGCCUCGGCGGGAUUUCUGCCCCGGGCGCGUCGCAGCCCCGGACCAAGGCGCCCGCCGGAGGACCAACCCAAAACUCUUUUGUAUACCCCCUCGCGGGUUUUUUAUAUCUGAGCCUUCUCGGCGCCCCUAGCGGGCGUUUCGAAAAUGAAUCAAAACUUUCAACAACGGAUCUCUUGGUUCUG
rnacentral:misc_RNA from 1 species